rnacentral:lncRNA from 1 species
GGGCCAGCAACCCAACAACAGGUUGUCCGAUUUGUCUGAAAAUUUCAGGGCAGAUAGAUCUUGACCUGAUAAUUAAUUUUAUCCCAUGUCAGAUUUGCUCUAAAUGCUUUGGUUUUUGAGUUAUAAGCCAAAAACUGCAUUUUACCCCUAUGUUCUAUUUUUAGCCAUGGCAGCCAUCUUGGUUGGUUGGUGGGAUCACCCCACACAUUUUUUUAACAAUAUACACC